rnacentral:rRNA from 1 species
GACGAACGCUGGCGGCGUGCUUAACACAUGCAAGUCGAACGGGCCUUGUCCCCUUUUUUUUUGGGGGUGGGGUUAGUGGCGAACGGGUGAGUAACACGUGAGUAACCUGCCCCUCACUUCUGGAUAACCGCUUGAAAGGGUGGCUAAUACGGGGUGUUCUGGCCUGCUCGCAUGGGUGGGUUUGGAAAGAUUCGACCGGUUUUGGUUGUUUUGGUGGGGGAUGGGCUCGCGGCCUAUCAGCUUGUUGGUGGGGUGAUGGCCUGCCAAGGCUUUGACGGGUAGCCGGCCUGAGAGGGUGGGCGGUCACACUGGGACUGAGACACGGCCCAGACUCCUACGGGAGGCAGCAGUGGGGAAUAUUGCACAAGGGGCGCAAGCCGGAUGCAGCGACGCCGCGUGAGGGAUGGAGGCCUUCGGGUUGUGAACCUCUUUCGCCAGUGAAGAAGGUCCUGCUCUUUGUGGUGGGGUUGACGGUAGCUGGGUUAAUGAAGCGCCGGCUAACUACGUG